GACGAACCGAGCGAACGUUGUUCGGAAUCACUGGGCUUAAAGGGCGCGUAGGCGGGCUGUCAAGUCUGGGGUGAAAUCCGGCAGCUCAACUGUCGAAUAGCUUCUGAUACUGGUCGUCUUGAGGGGGGUAGGGGCAUGUGGAACUUCCGGUGGAGCGGUGAAAUGCGUAGAUAUCGGAAGGAACGCCGGUGGCGAAAGCGACGUGCUGGACCCUUUCUGACGCUGAGGCGCGAAAGCCAGGGGAGCAAACGGG
rnacentral:rRNA from 1 species